AGCAAAGAUACUUCAUUGUUUGUGAGAGAAGGAGCUAGCUCUCGGGAUAUCCUGGGCAACCCCAAACAACGGGAUAGAGAGUUCAAAAAAUUUCUUGAGAAUUUAAAGAUGUCGAUAGCAUCUAGAAAAGCAGCGGAAGAAUGUAUGGUGGUAUCUAAGAAAGACAGUGAAGGACUAAAACUGUCUAAACUUUUGACCAGACACCAAGGCUCACUUGAUAAAUCUUACUAUGAUUGGUACAUUCUUGUAACAAAUUCCUGUGUACCAACGCAAAUGGAGCACUUAGAUUUUAUAAAGGAAAUUAAAUUGUUUGCUGUGCUAGAUUUUGAUCCUUACUCUCACAUCAAGGGAGUGGUCAAAGCUUACAGAGAAAGCAGGGU
rnacentral:lncRNA from 1 species